rnacentral:lncRNA from 1 species
CUGGGCUGCUGAUAUGUAACAUCUGCUUUCCUGAUGCAGCCACCAUUAUCCCAAGCCCUUGGACACGAGGCAGAGAGGAAAGUCAGCCUAGCCCUUGUGGUCUGUUCCACCAAAUGAGCCCAUGGGUGGUCCCUGGUUAGGCACAGAUGCCCCCUGCUCUUUGAAAGAACAUCCGCUUCCACUGAAACAGCAUGGAUUUAACUUUGCUCCCAUCGGCUGAUGGAACAGACACUCAGUGAACUCUACCUGGCAGCAUUCUGUGUUGUUGGAAUCCCCAGACCCUUCAGUAGAGCUCUGUUCCUGGCAGAACUGCCGCCGGAAGCCCAGAUCAUUUACUCUGGGGGAUGCAAGUUACCAUGCCUUGUCACAAAGACUAAGGCAGCCCUACGGAGAAGACUCCAGGCCUCCCACCGAUACCCAUCAGAGACCUGCCAUCUCUGAAUGUGCCACCUUCACACAAGACCCUCCAGCUGCAGGCAAGCCUUCCAGAUAACUGCAGCCCCAUCUGACAUCUGGCCUGAACCUCUGAGAAAGCAUGAGUCAGAACCACACCCAAGUUCCUCAUCCAAAGAUACUGUGGGAAAUAAGACCUGUCUGUUGUUUUAAACUACUUAAUGUUGGGAUAAUAUAUACUUAGCAAUAGAUCAUGAAUAAGCCCCGUUUCUGCUGUCAUUUUCUGUUAUGCCCCAUUUCAUAUCGGCUUAGUCUUCAAGCAUACUUCCCUCAUUGGGGUGAAAUGGUUGUAUUAGUUUCAGGUCCAACAAACAUACACCACACUGUCCAUGAGGUGAGAAUGCACAGAUAUAUCAGAAUUCCCAGCAAAUGUCUUGAGCUUCUGACAAAUUGAGCCACCCCUGACCCAAUCUCUGAGGUUAGGGGAAGGUUAUAUGCUGACUGAGAAAGCCCUGGGUUACCUGAACUAUGACAAGGAGGAUGAGUUUAAUGCAAACCACCUGACUAUUACACAUACCUCCCUGGGGGUCCUUUCCAGGAAGCUUAGGCUUUAGAAGACAAAAGCAAUAAAAAGGAUUUGCCAUCAAGUGAUGGAUACUUUCCAUUGCCAACUCUUCCUGAGGCAAAAGGAAAAAAAGACCUGGCUUCUUUUUUUGUCAUGGUGGGUGGAGAAUAAAUAAAAUAGAAAUAACUAUCUCAAUAAAUUAACUUGCUAUGUAUUUUAGUGAGUCUCUGGUGACUCCUAAAUUUAUAUCUUUAUCCUAGAACAUCUCUCAACCUCCAGAGUCAUGUAUACAAUUGCCUCUUGACGUUUCUACUUUGGUAUCUGUAGACAUCUCAAACUAGACAUAGCCAUUGGAGACCCUGAUUCUUUCCCACAAACAUGCUGACACUCCAUAUCCAAUCCAAAGGGAAAUCAUGCUAGCCCUGCCUUCAGAAUAUGUCUAGAAUCCCUCCAUUUCUCACAGCUUCCUGUCAUCUAUGGGUCACCAUCAUCUCUCACCUCUAUUACUGCCUCCUAGCUAGUUUCCUUUGCUUACUAACAGGGAAAGGUGAUCCUCUGAAAAACCCACCCUCACCACUCACAUAACCUCUCCUACCUCUGUUCUAGAAGCACUGCCUUCUUUACCUUCAAAUGUGCCAGGACCCUUCCUACCUGGUCAUUAUUUUACCUUCUUCAAGUCUUGGCCUAAAUCUCACAUUCUCAACAAAGGCAUUCCUGCACUGCCGGAUUUAACAUUGGGACCUGCAUGGCUCCAUCCUGCCCUUCGUCCUGCCCUCUCAAGUUCCCCUUACCCUAUCAUAUUAAUAUUUUCAUUUUUUCAUGGCAUUUCUCAUCUUCUAUAUAAUUUACUUAUUAAUUAUACUUACUGUCUACCGCCAUCCCCUGCACCAUGCAUGUUCCAUAAGAGCAGGGAUCCAUGCUUAUCUUUUCCACUGCUGCCAAGAACAGUGCCUGAGGACUUGGAACCCUAGAGGGGAUGCUUGAUAAGGAUUUGUUGAGUGAAUGACUGGCUGGUUGGCUAGCUGAUGCUCACACCAACCCCAUGAUGUAGGGAUCCCUUCUGCCUCCAUUUGCUGAGGGGUUCAGUAACUUGUUGGAAAUCACAAAGCAAGAGGAUGAGGAGCUGAGAUGAAAGCCCAGCCCACGUGCUUUGCCACAGGCCCUUCCUGCAGCAGCUCUUAUAGAAUUUCUAAUAAUUAGACCCCUUCUUUCCUCUCAACCUUAACUUGGAAUAUAAUUAUGGAAAUUUUUUUAUCACAGCAGAUUUCAUUAAGUUAAAGAAAAUGUAAAAAUUAUGAAGAUGGCCUGAAGUCAGGAAUGCCAUCAGGGAAAUGAAGCUCUUAACCUAUGUGAUUUGACUUUUGGGAAAUAUAUUUAGUAAUCACUUUUAUCUUAAAAUAUCUAACAAUGUCUUAAGAAAAUGUCUUUCUCCUAAUUGUUUUUGUCUUUAUCUAGGCUUAUUGAAUCUGUGCCCCCAACCCCUGCUCCAAAAAAGAAAUUGAUGAAUCCCUGUAUUUAUUUUUGAAAUAUUUGUGCUCAAAGCUUCUGAACUUGUUCCUUUAUUGACUAACCAAUAAACAAAAAAUGUCUGUUUUCUCAGCAGAAGCCCAGGAACUUGUGUCACUCUGAGAAAUAACAGUGAAUUUCCUCAUUAGGAAAAAGACCGCUGAGUCUGGCAUUUGAUAGCAAUCAAAAGUGCCCAGGGCUAAGACCUACCUCUUCACCCCUCCACUCCUGCCAGCCUUUAUUUCCCUCUCUGACUGCCCAAUACUGGGUUUGCCCACUCAGGAGGAACCUACCCAUACACUUCACCACUAGGGAUGGUCUGUAAAUGAGUGACUAAUGAAAAUGUAGGACCUACCCAAAUUUAUCUAAGGUGAGUUGAAGAUCAAAUGAAUGAAAUGAAGUGAAAAGAAAAGUUUAGAGAAAAAAGAAUAAAAAGAAAUGAACAAACCCUCCAAGAAAUAUGGGACUAUGUGAAAAGACCAAAUCUACAUCUGAUUGGUGUACCUGAAAGUGAC